ACGGCGAAUUGUAGUUUCGAGAAGUACUUUCCCGGCGCAUCGAGUUUGCCUAAGUUGCUUGGAACAGCACGUCAUAGAGGGUGACAACCCCGUACGUGGCAAUGCUCGAGCGCUCGCGAUGUGCUUUCGAAGAGUCGGGUUGUUUGGGAAUGCAGCCCAAAACGGGUGGUAAACUCCAUCUAAAGCUAAAUACAGGCACGAGACCGAUAGCGAACAAGUACCGUGAGGGAAAGAUGAAAAGGACUUUGAAAAGAGAGUUAAAAAGUACGUGAAACCGUUGAAAGGGAAGCGAAUGGAGUUAGCAAUUCGCCCUGCCAGACUCAGUUGCUCGUGCUUCGCGACGUACGCGCUCUCGAUCCGCAUGGACGAGACGUGUGCGGGUGCGAUGUGCGGUCGGCGCACUUCUGGCGAGCGAGCGUCAGCGUCGGUUGUCGAUGGGCGACAAGGACACAAGGAAGGUGGGCCUGCCUUCACGGCCGGUUGUUAAGCCUUGUGCUCGAAUAGCUCGGCGGCGACCGUGGCUCUGCGACGUGUGCCUGGCUGGGACUCGAACGAUCGGUCCGGCAUGUCGA
rnacentral:rRNA from 1 species